GAUGAAGAACGUAGCUAAAUGCGAUAAGUAGUGUGAAUUGCAGAAUUCAGUGAAUCAUCGAAUCUUUGAACGCACAUUGCGCCCCUUGGUAUUCCAUGGGGCAUGCCUGUUCGAGCGUCAUUUGUACCUUCAAGCUCUGCUUGGUGUUGGGUGUUUGUCUCGCCUCUGCGUGUAGACUCGCCUCAAAACAAUUGGCAGCCGGCGUAUUGAUUUCGGAGCGCAGUACAUCUCGCGCUUUGCACUCAUAACGACGACGUCCAAAAGUACAUUUUUACACUCUUGACCUCGGAUCAGGUAGGGAUACCCGCUGAACUUAAGCAUAUCAAUAAGCGGAGGA
rnacentral:misc_RNA from 1 species